UACAGAGGGGGCGAGCGUUGUUCGGAAUUACUGGGCGUAAAGGGCGCGUAGGCGGCCCGCUAAGUCGAACGUGAAAUCCCCAGGCUCAACCUGGGAACUGCGUCCGAUACUGGCAGGCUUGAAUCCGGGAGAGGGAUGUGGAAUUCCAGGUGUAGCGGUGGAAUGCGCAGAUAUCAGGAGGAACACCAAUAGCGAAGGCAGCUCGCUGGGACGGUACUGACGCUAAGGCGCGAAAGCGUGGGGAGCGAACAGG
rnacentral:rRNA from 1 species